rnacentral:lncRNA from 12 species
UUCCUAGACAGCUGAAUUUAGUAGGAAAUAGGAUCAAACUUCAUUAGUAUGUACCAUAAUUGAUGAUAUCCCGUGCGGAUCAGUGUGCGAGCAAAAUCUACAACGUCUUGCUAGAAAAUUCAGGAAAUACUGCAGAGGAGAGGGUCAGAUUGCCAUUCAGCUGUGUAGCCUUUCUGGUUGCCAUAUUGAAAAAGACAUGGGUCCAGAUCUGAGGAUGGUUCUUGUGCAACUUCUCUUGGCAAUUCUGGUGCUACAGAUCCAAAUCUGGCAGGUAUAGUAGUACAUGGACUCAUCUUCCUCUAAGAAAUUUAUUUUCAAAAUUGAAGUCUAAGUUUGUUGUCUUCUCACCUCUGCAAUCAUAAGCAAGCUUUAUUGAGGUGAAUGAUAGAUAUCCUCUCCUUGAUCUGGUUUCUGCCACUGGUUUCUGCAUGACUUCACUGUUAGAGUCCUCAGUGGACAGUUUCCAAGGUAAGUGGACACUCUCAUCUCUUUCUCUGGAAAUUGAUAAUUCAGGUUGCUCCAACGUCACCCGCCCAAGGCCAACUUCAGGCAAAGAAGAGAAAUUCUCAUGAACAAAUGAUACAGAAAAAGGCAACAAUAAAGAAUUUCUUGAAUCUCUCUUGCAGACUGAAGUGACCAGGGGCAACUCACAGACUCAAGAGGGAUGAGAAGAUGACUGCUUCCAGCAGGGGCAUCCUGUGGCCUGGCUGAUUUCCCAGCAACAAGCUUCUCCUGAUGAUCGCACCUGCCCCAUGACAAGAUACCAGAACGACGAUGGUGGUGAUAGAAGAACUGUCAUCAGCAUUGCUGCCCUGGGGACAAAGUCAUCACAUACACACUAAGUGAAGAAGUCAGUAGUGUGCUUAAUGAGUUUUGUGAGGACACGUACCUCCCUUGAACACGAGGACAAAAGCCUAGAAGGUUCCAAGGCUGCCAGGUGCUCACAGCCUGCAGGGAACAGCUGGUUCAGACCUAGUCCCCAUGUCUGCCAGCCUCCCAGACCUGCUGGCCUCGUGGAUUGACCAGUCAUGGGUCCAGCCUGGGGGUCCAGCCCGCUGAGCACCCAGCAAUGUGGUCUGAUCAGUGGUGCGCUGAGGGGAGAGGUCGUUCUCAUAUGGAGCUGCCAAAGGGGAGCCCUGGAGGUCGAAUGAGCCCUGGAGGCCGAAUGAUAACUCCCUGAGGAUUUAUUGCAUCAACAAGGACAGAAUGACAGCUCCAGUCCAAGCCCUGCCCCUUGGAGGAUGUGUGUCCUUGGGAAAGUCACUGUGAAUGGGAAUAAUAAUGCUCACUCUGGAGACAUCCUCCACCAUGGGCCUGGGAUGGGUCAAGUUUAUUCCUUUGUAAAUAAAUAUUUUUUGUGAACUCA